GUCCACGCCGUAACGAUGGAUACUAGCUGUUGGGGCAACUUCAGUGGCUAAGCGAAAGUGAUAAGUAUCCCACCUGGGGAGUACGGGCGCAAGCCUGAAACUCAAAGGAAUUGACGGGGCCCGCACAAGCGGUGGAGCAUGUGGUUUAAUUCGAUGAUACGCGAGGAACCUUACCAAGGCUUAAAUGUAGACUGACCGGUUUGGAAACAGACCUUUCGCAAGACAGUUUACAAGGUGCUGCAUGGUUGUCGU
rnacentral:rRNA from 1 species